UAGCAAUACGGCAGCGGCAGACGGGAGAGUAACACGUGGGAACGCGCCCUUCGGUUCGGGAUAACCCAGGGAAACUUGGGCUAAUACCGGAUACGCCCUUACGGGGAAAGAUUUAUUGCCGAAGGAACGGCCCGCGUCCGAUUAGCUAGUUGGUGAGGUAACGGCUCACCAAGGCGACGAUCGGUAGCUGGUCUGAGAGGAUGACCAGCCUCACUGGGACGGAGACACGGCCCAGACUCCUACGGGAGGCAGCAGUGGGGAAUAUUGGACAAUGGGCGCAAGCCUGAUCCAGCCAUGCCGCGUGGGUGAUGAAGGCCCUAGGG
rnacentral:rRNA from 1 species